CCCUUAGACGUUCUGGGCCGCACGCGCGCUACACUGACCAGUGCAACAAGCAUCCGUCCUUGGCCGACAGGCUCGGGCAAUCUUUGAACGCUGGUCGUGAUGGGGAUAGACUUUUGCAAUUUUUGGUCUUCAACGAGGAAUGCCUAGUAAGCGCAAGUCAUCAGCUUGCGUUGAUUACGUCCCUGCCCUUUGUACACACCGCCCGUCGCUCCUACCGAUUGAAUGGUCCGGUGAAGCGCUCGGACCGCGGCCUCUUGACGGUUUUCCGUCGAUUGGCUGUGGGAAGUUCGUUAAACCUUAUCAUUUAGAGGAAGGAGAANUCGUANCA
rnacentral:rRNA from 1 species